rnacentral:rRNA from 1 species
GACGAACGCUGGCGGCGUGCUUAACACAUGCAAGUCGAACGGAAAGGCCCUGCUUUUGUGGGGUGCUCGAGUGGCGAACGGGUGAGUAACACGUGAGUAACCUGCCCUUGACUUUGGGAUAACUUCAGGAAACUGGGGCUAAUACCGGAUAGGAGCUCCUGCUGCAUGGUGGGGGUUGGAAAGUUUCGGCGGUUGGGGAUGGACUCGCGGCUUAUCAGCUUGUUGGUGGGGUAGUGGCUUACCAAGGCUUUGACGGGUAGCCGGCCUGAGAGGGUGACCGGCCACAUUGGGACUGAGAUACGGCCCAGACUCCUACGGGAGGCAGCAGUGGGGAAUAUUGCACAAUGGGCGGAAGCCUGAUGCAGCAACGCCGCGUGCGGGAUGACGGCCUUCGGGUUGUAAACCGCUUUCGCCUGUGACGAAGCGUGAGUGACGGUAAUGGGUAAAGAAGCACCGGCUAACUACGUGCCAGCAGCCGCGGUGAUACGUAGGGUGCGAGCGUUGUCCGGAUUUAUUGGGCGUAAAGGGCUCGUAGGUGGUUGAUCGCGUCGGAAGUGUAAUCUUGGGGCUUAACCCUGAGCGUGCUUUCGAUACGGGUUGACUUGAGGAAGGUAGGGGAGAAUGGAAUUCCUGGUGGAGCGGUGGAAUGCGCAGAUAUCAGGAGGAACACCAGUGGCGAAGGCGGUUCUCUGGGCCUUUCCUGACGCUGAGGAGCGAAAGCGUGGGGAGCGAACAGGCUUAGAUACCCUGGUAGUCCACGCUGUAAACGGUGGGUACUAGGUGUGGGGUCCAUUCCACGGGUUCCGUGCCGUAGCUAACGCUUUAAGUACCCCGCCUGGGGAGUACGGCCGCAAGGCUAAAACUCAAAGGAAUUGACGGGGCCCCGCACGAGCGGCGGAGCAUGCGGAUUAAUUCGAUGCAACGCGUAGAACCUUACCUGGGUUUGACAUGGAUCGGGAGCGCUCAGAGAUGGGUGUGCCUCUUUUGGGGUCGGUUCACAGGUGGUGCAUGGCUGUCGUCAGCUCGUGUCGUGAGAUGUUGGGUUAAGUCCCGCAACGAGCGCAACCCUUGUUCACUGUUGCCAGCACGUUAUGGUGGGGACUCAGUGGAGACCGCCGGGGUCAACUCGGAGGAAGGUGGGGAUGACGUCAAGUCAUCAUGCCCCUUAUGUCCAGGGCUUCACGCAUGCUACAAUGGCUGGUACAGAGAGUGGCGAGCCUGUGAGGGUGAGCGAAUCUCGGAAAGCCGGUCUCAGUCCGGAUUGGGGUCUGCAACUCGACCUCAUGAAGUCGGAGUCGCUAGUAAUCGCAGAUCAGCAACGCUGCGGUGAAUACGUUCCCGGGGCU